CAGGGUGAGGUAGUAGACUGUAUAGUAAAGAAUUACAUCAUUUGGAGGUACUGUACAAUCUGCUAACUUUCCCUG
rnacentral:pre_miRNA from 16 species